GGGGCACCCUCUGAGGCAUCCUGGAGGCGCUGGCUCUCUCCUGGGUGCAUGCUGUGGUGCCCAGAUGG
rnacentral:snoRNA from 1 species